rnacentral:rRNA from 1 species
GAUGAACGCUGGCGGCGUGCCUAAUACAUGCAAGUCGAGUGAACAGAUGAGGAGCUUGCUCCUCUGACGUUAGCGGCGGACGGGUGAGUAACACGUGGAUAACCUACCUAUAAGACUGGGAUAACUUCGGGAAACCGGAGCUAAUACCGGAUAAUAUAUUGUACCGCAUGGUUCAAUAGUGAAAGACGGUUUUGCUGUCACUUAUAGAUGGAUCCGCGCCGCAUUAGCUAGUUGGUAAGGUAACGGCUUACCAAGGCAACGAUGCGUAGCCGACCUGAGAGGGUGAUCGGCCACACUGGAACUGAGACACGGUCCAGACUCCUACGGGAGGCAGCAGUAGGGAAUCUUCCGCAAUGGGCGAAAGCCUGACGGAGCAACGCCGCGUGAGUGAUGAAGGUCUUCGGAUCGUAAAACUCUGUUAUUAGGGAAGAACAAAUGUGUAAGUAACUAUGCACGUCUUGACGGUACCUAAUCAGAAAGCCACGGCUAACUACGUG